UAAUCUUCAACUUAGUCUCUAAUAACCUAUUUUCCAAUAAUGUAAUUAUAAUAAUCAUUUUUCAAUAAUUCUCUAUUUUCAAGAAAUAAAUCAAACACUAGAUUUCAGAUUCAGAAAAACAAAGAUGAUUCGGGAUAUCAAAGAUAACUUUAAGAGAAAGGAAAAAUUGUAUUAAACAGAUCGAUCGAAAUUGGAACGUGUAGUGGUAGGUGUCGCACGUGUCGCCCACUCGUGUGUCGCCACCGAAUUACGUAAGAGUCAAAGUCGUUACUCAUUGGCCGAGUCGUUCAUGCAUGAUUCAUCCUUUAAUCCGGCGACCGGCUGUUAAUAACGGCCGAGUUUAUUUUAAAACUAACGUCCUGACACUGGAUCCUACUUGAUCGAAACAAUUCGAAGGCGAUCGACCUGCGGCAAAAAUUUUCAUCUUUCUGUCUUGAUUCACCUCUCUGUAAAUAAGUGUGAUUUUCUGUAACAUGGAAAUCAAAUCAAAAUUAAACCAAAAUGAACGUAGAAAUGGCAAAUCUGAUUACGACACCAAAAAUUGUAGAAAUCAGGUUCAGUCCAGAUAAUUUUAGUUCGAUCGAGUGAGUAAUUCUUUCGAAACCAUGAAUGUUAAUUAAACUCGUCUAAUUAAUCGCUUGGUGAAACUUUCCCUCUCUGUGAACAGUUUUUCUCAGUUUUUUCGAGGGAGAGGCUUGACGAAGAGAUAGUUCUCAAUAGCCAUAAUCGAUCCACGUGAAAGACGAGCGCGAUGAACAGUUUAAUUGGCUUCGACUUGGUUCAAUUUGAUGGGUCUCGAUGUGGUCAAUAAUUAAACGGUGAAUGUUCUGUUUUAAUUUAUAUACAGCAUGUUAUUAUUUAAUCUUUCUUUAAUAGAAAUAA